rnacentral:tRNA from 1 species
GUGGGAGAGGCUUAGUGGUUUGGCGUGAGAUUGCAACGUAUCUUUUCCAUUGAAGAACGGCGCCACUUGGAAAAAUCUUGAGGUCGUGGGUUCGAUUCCCACCUUCCACU